rnacentral:lncRNA from 1 species
CUUCCGAGCCCGCGCAUUCCCGUCGGGCGGUCACUUCCACGAAGCCCAGGAGAGCCGCCAGAGGCCGGCACACGCAGGAGGCAGGGCCGUGGAGCGAGCACGCGGAGCACGUGCGCCCUUGUGGCCCAGCACCGGCUCCCGGCGGCAGCUCCCGGCGGGGGGCGGCCUGCGAGGAGCGGGCCUGCGGGGGCCCCGGCUGGACAGGCCUGCGGGGAGCGGGCGCCGCCCCCGCUGGACACCCCGCGGUACGUGCGAUGCCACCCCUCCCUCCCUCCCUCCCUCCCGCCGCUCUCCGCGUGGAGAGCCUGUGCGGGCGCGGCCCCCGCCCCGACAAGACCCGCCGUCCCAGGAGGGCCCCGGGCGGCGGGCGCACCCCCGGCCCGAGCGCGCACCCCGGCCCCGAGCGCGCACCCCGGGCGGCGGGCGCACACUUACGUCUCCGCUCCCCGCGGGCAGGUCGGCGCGGCUCCCGCGGCUCGGGCGGGCGGGGAGGAGGAGGGAGGAGGGCGGAGGGCGGCGGGCGGCGGGGACACCCGCUCCCGCUCCCGCUCCCGGCCCCGCGCUCUCCGCUCCGGGCUCCGGGCUCCGCGCUCCCGCACCCGCUCCCGCGCUCGGGGCCGCGGGCGGCAGGCGGCAGGCGGCAGGCGCGCCGGCUCGUACCCGGAGGCUCCGCGGGUGUGGCCGGGCAGCCGAGGUUUUUGGAAUGCAGGGUGUGGCCCUCUAACACAGCAAAAAAGAAAUGAGUCAGCCCGUGCGAUCCUAACCAAUAAGCGUGUUCAUUGUCGGCUAAGGCGGAACUUGCCUGUCUUGAUUUAUAUCAGGCUUAGGAGCCCGGUACAGCCUUUAAAAGAGGUUUUUUCCCCCCGAACUUCAGCCUUGAACAACUUCCAAGAACAGCAGAGGCUCUUUAAAAACUCUUUCAAAGCCAGAGUCAGUGUCAGGACAUGCUUGACCGGCGGGUGCAGAACCGAUCAUUCAUUCCAUAAGCCAAAUUUUCUCCAAAAUACUCACUGGCCAAAGAUAAAAUCUAAAGUGAGAGCAAAGGCCCUUCCUAAAAUGGGGUUUUCUUCAAAGCAGCAUGGAAAGAACAGAGCACCAGGACUCAGGAGCUCCAGCCCUCAUCCCAGCUGUGCCCAUAAGAGACCAGGAGCGUGGUGCGAGGUAUUUGAAUUAAAAAGCACAGUCACUAAAUACCCACGGCACCUGUCAUGUGCUGCUGCAAGUCUCCUUGACCUCGUCACUCCCGCCACACAAGGCACUUCUCUCUCCAACUGAUUUCCAAAACACUCACUGUAUCUCCUAUGACAUCGACCACAUCACGACCUGCGACUCCCAAGUACAGAGCACACUUCGGAGCGCGCUGAUCGACCACCGUGCCAGGCUGCAACCUCCCCACCCCCAAGGCCUACACACCUGCCAGCUCUCCAGUCAAACUCGCAUCCAUACUGGGGAUGCCCAGAAAUAGCAUCAGGUCCCUCCUGGGAGAGAAAUCAUAAAUCAGAAUAUUUUAUGUGUGGUGAGGCUCCUCGGCUGGUUAUUUCUCCCAAGUCUGCUUUCACAGCGACCCAAGACACUCUUAUUCAUCUUGAUUGAAACACAAGUCAAUAUUUCUUAAUCCAGGGGCAAGCGUCUCAGGUUUCCAUCCAUCAGUUUCAGCAUGAAAGGGGCAAGAAUUGCUUUUGCAAUAAUCCAAGUCCGUUCUUGACUCAGAAGGAGCUAUAAAUAUCUAUUGUUUCAGGAGGAAAUAAGGGAAAUAAAUGUUUUAAGAUUAUGUAAGUCCGUUUCAGGGAACUGACACAAACGAAUGUUUUGAAAUACCCAAGACAUUUUUUUUUAAGGUUCAGUAAAGAAUGUGUUCUGAGAGCAAGGUGGGUGAGAUUUAGAAUAAAAACCACCACCACAAUCUUAGCUGUUACUGAGCGAUUUCAGGCUCCCAUUGUCCCCUGGAAAGGGCAAGCUAGCGGGCUGGGGGAGCACGGGCUACCUGCUCCAGGGUCCCUGGUGCCCUCCAUCCCCCUCCCGAAGACCUGCAUCAAGCCAGUGUGAACCUGACACUGCCCACAUACCAUCCUGUUUUGUUUCUCUCUCUCUGGAGACAAUGUACUUUCAUGAAAACUUCAUUUCUGAACAAAAGCAAAGCAACGAGCCAUCGCUGGUGAGGAGGAAGCCUGGCUGCUGGUCCCUGCAGUGUCACUACCUGACAAGGUGUAGGUUCCAGGGAGCACAGCAAAGGCACAGAACAAACUGGAAAGGGAGUGGACAGCCUGCCUGUGUGCAACCACUGUCACUGCACAGCCCGGAGAGGCGAGGGUGCCAGGGCAGUGACAUCACGAGGUCAACAAGCCUCAGGCAACGGGUUUCCAUUCUAAAUU